rnacentral:rRNA from 1 species
AGCGAACGCUGGCGGCAGGCCUAACACAUGCAAGUCGAACGAACCUUUCGGGGUUAGUGGCGGACGGGUGUGUAACACGUGGGAACGUGCCUUUAUGUUCGGAAUAACUCAGGGAAACUUGUGCUAAUACCGAAUGUGCCCUUCGGGGGAAAGAUUUAUCGCCUUUAGUGCGGCCCGCGUCUGAUUAGCUAGUUGGUUGAGGUAAUGGCUCACCAAGGCGACGUUCAGUAGCUGGUCUGAGAGGAUGAUCAGCCACAUUGGGACUGAGACACGGCCCAAACUCCUACGGGAGGCAGCAGAGGGGAAUCUUGCGAAAUGGGCGAAAGCCUGACGCAGCCAUGCCGCGUGAAUGAUGAAGGUCUUAGGAUUGUAAAAUUCUUUCACCGGGGACGAUAAUGACGGUACCCGGAGAAGAAGCCCCGGCUAACUUCGUG